rnacentral:rRNA from 1 species
UACGUAGGGUGCAAGCGUUGUCCGGAAUUAUUGGGCGUAAAGAGCUCGUAGGCGGUUUGUUGCGUCGGCUGUGAAAUCCCGAGGCUCAACCUCGGGUCUGCAGUCGAUACGAGCAAACUAGAGUGUUGCAGGGGAGACUGGAAUUCCUGGUGUAGCGGUGAAAUGCGUAGAUAUCAGCAGGAACACCCAUGGCGAAGGCAGCUUCCUGGGUCGGCCCUGACGCUGAGGCGCGAAAGCGUGGGGAGCGAACGGG